rnacentral:lncRNA from 1 species
AUAAGUUGCAGAAACAACAAAUUCUAUUCAAUUUUCGAAAUGGACAAANNUGUUUGAUAAAAUGUCCAAGAGAACUCUGUGAUUGAUGCACCAAAAUUGAAACCAGAUUGAUUGGUACUGGUUACACAGCUUUUUCAGACAAAUGCUUUUGUUAAAUUUGCAUUGUAUAUUUCUUUUAAUUCAAUUAAACCAAGCUUUUGCUACCAAUC